rnacentral:rRNA from 1 species
GAUGAACGCUGGCGGCGUGCCUAAUACAUGCAAGUCGAGCGAACAGACGAGGAGCUUGCUCCUCUGACGUUAGCGGCGGACGGGUGAGUAACACGUGGAUAACCUACCUAUAAGACUGGGAUAACUUCAGGAAACCGGAGCUAAUACCGGAUAAUAUAUUGAACCGCAUGGUUCAAUAGUGAAAGACGGUUUUGCUGUCACUUAGAGAUGGAUCCGCGCCGCAUUAGCUAGUUGGUAAGGUAACGGCUUACCAAGGCAACGAUGCGUAGCCGACCUGAGAGGGUGAUCGGCCACACUGGAACUGAGACACGGUCCAGACUCCUACGGGAGGCAGCAGUAGGGAAUCUUCCGCAAUGGGCGAAAGCCUGACGGAGCCACGCCGCGUGAGUGAUGAAGGUCUUCGGAUCGUAAAGCUCUGUUAUUAGGGAAGAACAAAUGUGUAAGUAACUAUGCACGUCUUGACGGUACCUACUCAGAAAGCCCCGGCUAACUACGUG